rnacentral:rRNA from 1 species
GACGAACGCUGGCGGCGUGCCUAAUACAUGCAAGUAGAACGCACAGUUUAUACCGUAGCUUGCUACACCAUAAACUGUGAGUUGCGAACGGGUGAGUAACGCGUAGGUAACCUGCCUGGUAGCGGGGGAUAACUAUUGGAAACGAUAGCUAAUACCGCAUAAUAUUGAUUAUUGCAUGAUAAUUGAUUGAAAGAUGCUAUUGCAUCACUACCAGAUGGACCUGCGUUGUAUUAGCUAGUAGGUGAGGUAACGGCUCACCUAGGCGACGAUACAUAGCCGACCUGAGAGGGUGAUCGGCCACACUGGGACUGAGACACGGCCCAGACUCCUACGGGAGGCAGCAGUAGGGAAUCUUCGGCAAUGGACGAAAGUCCGACCGAGCAACGCCGCGUGAGUGAAGAAGGUUUUCGGAUCGUAAAGCUCUGUUGUAAGAGAAGAACGGGUGUGAGAGUGGAAAGUUCACACUGUGACGGUAUCUUACCAGAAAGGGACGGCUAACUACGUG